UACGUAGGUGGCAAGCGUUGUCCGGAUUUAUUGGGCGUAAAGCGGGCGCAGGCGGUUCUUUAAGUCUGAUGUGAAAGCCCCCGGCUCAACCGGGGAGGGUCAUUGGAAACUGGAGAACUUGAGUGCAGAAGAGGAGAGUGGAAUUCCACGUGUAGCGGUGAAAUGCGUAGAUAUGUGGAGGAACACCAGUGGCGAAGGCGACUCUCUGGUCUGUAACUGACGCUGAGGCUCGAAAGCGUGGGGAGCAAACAGG
rnacentral:rRNA from 1 species